UACAGAGGGUGCAAGCGUUAAUCGGAAUUACUGGGCGUAAAGCGCGCGUAGGUGGUUCAGUAAGUUGGAAGUGAAAUCCCCGGGCUCAACCUGGGAACUGCUUUCAAAACUGCUGAGCUAGAGUACGGUAGAGGGUGGUGGAAUUUCCUGUGUAGCGGUGAAAUGCGUAGAUAUAGGAAGGAACACCAGUGGCGAAGGCGACCACCUGGACUGAUACUGACACUGAGGUGCGAAAGCGUGGGGAGCAAACGGG
rnacentral:rRNA from 1 species